UCAGUGCACUUGGAUAACCACACCUUGAGGAUCCAGUCCCACCAGUAGGCUACAAUGAUGCUUGCUCUUCAUGAUGGGGAACCAACAGGACAAAUCGAACAGAGAACCCGAGUGAGGGGGCGGAGGUCUGGAACCGGCGCAGCGUCUCAGCACGGGAGCAAAAGAAGUGUCACAGCUCAC